UACGUAGGGGGCAAGCGUUGUCCGGAAUCAUUGGGCGUAAAGAGCGCGUAGGCGGUCCGGUAAGUCCGCUGUGAAAGUCCAGGGCUCAACCCUGGAAUGCCGGUGGAUACUGUCGGGCUCGAAUCCGGAAGAGGUGAGUGGAAUUCCUGGUGUAGCGGUGAAAUGCGCAGAUAUCAGGAGGAACACCAAUGGCGAAGGCAGCUCACUGGGACGGUAUUGACGCUGAGACGCGAAAGCGUGGGGAGCAAACAGG
rnacentral:rRNA from 1 species